rnacentral:rRNA from 1 species
CAGUCGCCGCGGUAAUACGGAGGGUGCGAGCGUUAAUCGGAAUCACUGGGCGUAAAGCGUACGCAGGCGGUUUGUUAAGUCAGAUGUGAAAUCCCCGAGCUUAACUCGGGAACUGCAUUUGAAACUGGCAAGCUAGAGUGUGUCAGAGGAUGGUGGAAUUCCCGGUGUAGCGGUGAAAUGCGUAGAGAUCGGGAGGAACAUCAGUGGCGAAGGCGGCCAUCUGGGACAACACUGACGCUGAGGCACGAAAGCGUGGGGAGCAAACAGGAUUAGAUACCCCUGUAGUCCCUGUCUCUUAUAC